rnacentral:misc_RNA from 1 species
GAUGAAGAACGCAGCGAAAUGCUAUAAGUAGUGUGAAUUGCAGAAUUCCGUGAAUCAUCGAAUCUUUGAACGCACAUUGCGCCUUCUGGUAUUCCGGAAGGCAUGCCUGUUCGAGAGUCAUUAACAACCGUUUCGAUCCCUUUCUUUCAGAAAUUACAAAGAGGAAAAGGGUUUGGUUAUGGUGGAGGAGGGAAAGGGAGCGUUUAGCCUGUAAAAAAAGAGGCUGUGUUCCGCCUCCCCCCCAAAAUUGUACAGGCGGUCGUGUGCGCCCACGCAUCGAGGUGUUGUAAAAGCUGCCACGGCACUUUUCACCUGUGCAGUGCGAGAUUGGCCAGCCGGUUUAAAAACCCCUCCAAACAAUCAAAGGUUGACCUCGGAUCAGGUAGGGAUACCCGCUGAACUUAAGCAUAUCAAUAAGCGGAGGA